rnacentral:rRNA from 1 species
GUUCUAUGGAUAAAAAUUUUAGAUUUAACCUGCUCUAUGAUUAUUAAUUAAAUGGCUGCGGUAUUUUAACUGUACUAAGGUAGCAUAAUAAUUUGUCUUUUAAUUGGAGGCUAGAAUGAAUGGUUGGAUGAAAUAUAUUCUUUUUUUGUAAUAUUAUUUGAAUUUUAUUUUUUAGUUAAAAAGCUUAGAUUUUUUUAUGGGACGAGAAGACCCUAUAGAAUUUUAUUAUUUAUUUUAUAAUGAAUUUUUAUAAUAAUGUUUUUUAUAAUUUUAAUAAUUUUGUUGGGGUGAUUUGAAAAAUUUCUUAACUUUUCAUUUUUUUUUCAUUAAUUAGUGUUUUUUUGAUCUCAAAUUUUGGAUUAUAAGAUUGAAUUACCUUAGGGAUAACAGCGUUAUUUUUUUGGAGAGUUCUUAUCGAUAAAGAAGUUUGCGA